rnacentral:rRNA from 1 species
CCUCGGGAGGCUGCAGUAGGGAAUUUUCGGCAAUGGGGGGAACCCUGACCGAGCAACGCCGCGUGAACGAAGAAGUUAUUCGUAAUGUAAAGUUCUUUUAACAGGGAAGAAAGAGAAAUUUGACGGUACUUGAAGAAAAAGCAUCGGCUAACUCCGUGCCAGCAGCCGCGGUAAUACGGAGGAUGCGAGCGUUAUCCGGAUUUAUUGGGUUUAAAGGGUGCGUAGGCGGACUGUUAAGUCAGCGGUAAAAGCCCGGGGCUCAACCCCGGCGAGCCGUUGAAACUGGCUGUCUUGAGAUGUCGAGAGGUAUGCGGAAUGCGCAGUGUAGCGGUGAAAUGCUUAGAUAUUGCGCAGAACUCCGAUUGCGAAGGCAGCAUACCGGCGGCGAUCUGACGCUGAGGCACGAAAGCGUGGGUAUCGAACAGGAUUAGAUACCCUUGUAGUC